rnacentral:rRNA from 1 species
GACGGAGGGGGCUAGCGUUGUUCGGAAUGACUGGGCGUAAAGGGCGCGUAGGCGGUUUUUUAAGUGAGGCGUGAAAGCCCUGGGCUUAACCCAGGAGGUGCGUUUCAUACUGGAAAGCUUGAGUGCGAGAGAGGAAAGCGGAAUUCCUAGUGUAGAGGUGAAAUUCGUAGAUAUUAGGAAGAACACCAGUGGCGAAGGCGGCUUUCUGGCUCGUAACUGACGCUGAGGCGCGAAAGCGUGGGGAGCAAACAGG